AUGGCCGCGCCAACGCCGGCGGCGCCGGUGGCCAGGAAGGUGCCGCGGAAGCUGGCGGAGCACGGGGACGUGCGCGUCGACGACUACUACUGGCUCCGCGACGACGCGCGCGCCGACCCGGCCGUCCUCGCCCACCUCCGCGCAGAGAACGACUACACCGCCGCCCUCAUGUCCGAUACCAAGCAACUUGAGGACGAAAUAUUCGCUGAGAUCCGAGGGAGAAUCAAGGAAGACGAUAUAGAUGCGCCUCUGCGCAAGGGGCAGUAUUACUACUACAAAAGAACAUUGACCGGCAAGGAGUAUGCGCAACGCUGCAGGCGUCUUGUGCCGACCGAUGGCCCUGUUACAGUCCACGAUGAGAUGCCCACAGGCCCUGAUGCGCCUGCUGAGCAUAUUAUUCUGGACGAGAAUUUAAAGGCUGAGGGCCAUGACUACUACAGCAUCGGGGCUUUCAAGGUCAGUCCCAGUGGCAAGCUAGUUGCGUACGCAGAGGACACAAAGGGUGAUGAAAUCUACACUGUUUUUGUCAUUGACGCAGAGAGUGGACAGUAUGUUGGGCAACCACUGAAAGCAAUUACUUCUGACAUUGAGUGGGCCGGUGAUGACAACCUUGUUUACAUAACAAUGGACAAUAUUCUUCGACCAGAUAAAGUAUGGUUACACAAGUUAGGAACUGAUCAAUCGGAUGAUACAUGCCUGUAUCAUGAAAAGGAUGACACAUUUUCACUUGGUCUUCAUGCUUCUGAAAGCAAAAAGUAUUUAUUUGUUGGAUCUGGAAGCAAAAAUACAAGUUUUAUAUUUUACCUAGACAUACCCAGUCAGAGCAAGGAGCUCGCAGUUUUGACACCUCGUGUAGAUGGCAUUGAUACAACAGCAAGUCACCGUGGAAACCAUUUCUAUAUUACAAGGAGAAGCGAAGAAUUCUACAACUCCGAAUUGGUUGCUUGCCCGUUGAAUAAUGUAGCUGAGACUACUGUCUUGCUACCGCAUAGAGAAAGUGUGAAAAUUCAGGAUGUCCAACUCUUUGAGAAUCACAUUGCUGUAUAUGAGCGUGAGAAUGGUCUACCAAAAGCAACUGUCUAUCGCCUACCAGCCACUGGAGAGGCAGUUGGGCAACUUCAGGGAGGACGGGCAAUUGAUUUUAUUGAUCCAGCAUAUGCAGUGGAACCUGAGCCAUCACAGUUCCAUUCAAAUGUUGUUCGCUUUUAUUAUAGCUCAAUGAGGACGCCACCCUCUAUCUUUGACUAUGACAUGGAUACGGGGGUGUCGGUAUUGAAGAAAAUCGACACUGUUUUAGGUGGAUUUGAUGUGUCAAACUAUGUAACAGAGAGAAAAUGGGCUGCUGCUUCUGAUGGAACUCAGAUCCCCAUGUCCGUUCUUUACAGAAAAGAUAUGGUGAAGCUUGAUGGCUCAGACCCCAUGCUGCUAUAUGGAUAUGGCUCGUAUGAGAUAUGCAUCGACCCGACUUUCAGGGGAUCAAGAUUCUCUCUGGUGGACAGGGGUUUUGUAUACGUGAUAGCUCAUAUCCGUGGAGGUGGUGAAAUGGGCCGGAAUUGGUAUGAAGAUGGAAAGCUGUUGAAGAAGAAAAACACUUUCACUGAUUUCAUUGCCUGUGCUGAGCACUUGAUAGAAAACAAGUACUGUACGAAAGAAAAGCUUUGCAUCAACGGAAGAAGUGCAGGUGGCCUGUUGAUGGGUGAUGUCCUAAAUAUGAGGCCCGACUUAUUCAAGGCAGCUGUUGCUGGGGUGCCUUUUGUCGAUGUUCUCACAACUAUGCUUGACCCAACUAUCCCGUUGACUACAGCUGAAUGGGAGGAGUGGGGUGAUCCAAGGAAAGAAGAAUACUACUAUUACAUGAAAUCUUAUUCUCCUGUUGAUAACGUAAAAGCACAAGACUAUCCCCACAUUCUCGUUACUGCUGGCUUAAAUGAUCCUCGUGUGAUGUACUCGGAGCCUGCCAAGUUCGUGGCGAAGCUGAGGGAGCUCAAGACAGACGACAACCUCCUGCUGUUCAAGUGCGAGCUCGGCGCCGGGCACUUCUCCAAGUCGGGGAGGUUUGAGAAGUUGCGAGAAGACGCCUUCACCUACGCAUUCAUCCUCAAGGCGCUGGGCAUGAUGACUCCAACGACAGCUUCUUCGCUGUGA
rnacentral:rRNA from 1 species